ACGGAGGGAGCUAGCGUUGUUCGGAAUUACUGGGCGUAAAGCGCACGUAGGCGGCUUUUUAAGUCAGAGGUGAAAUCCCGGGGCUCAACCCCGGAACUGCCUUUGAAACUGGAGAGCUAGAAUCUUGGAGAGGCGAGUGGAAUUCCGAGUGUAGAGGUGAAAUUCGUAGAUAUUCGGAAGAACACCAGUGGCGAAGGCGACUCGCUGGACAAGUAUUGACGCUGAGGUGCGAAAGCGUGGGGAGCAAACAGGA
rnacentral:rRNA from 1 species